CGGAGAUGUACCUCCGAACUGGUCGAGUAGAAGCCUAGAGAACUCCUAUUCUCCCAGGUCAGAGUGCAUCUCCACUUUCAUGUCCAAACACUGGACCAACCGUCACCCGGUGGAUCGAG
rnacentral:sRNA from 21 species